AUGGGCGCCCCGGGUCCAGGGCCCGCGGAGCCGCUCUCGGGGCGGAGACCUUGCCCCCAGGGGCACGUCAGCGGUCCUGAGGUGAGGCUCCUGCAGAGCACUCUGGGCCGCGUGUGUCUCUCCCUGCGUGGGCAGGCAGUGUCGGUGGCCGGAGCGAGGUGUUUCGCCAUCGGGGUGAGAGGAGAGCCCAGGGUGGGCCUGGGGGCGGAAUCGGACUCGGGGUUGGGGUGGACUCUUCUGAAGCUGGGAGGGGUGCGGGUGGGCAGGGCCUUAGGGAGCCUGAGGGAGGUGCGGUUCCUGGGGAAGGGUGUGGCGCCCCAGCGAAGGGGCAGUGCUGGCCACUACGUGUGGCGCAUUGGCUGCUGGCACCCAGUGAGAGGGGGGAGGCCAGGGACCGGUGGCAGCCAGGCUGCCCACAGGCCCUGGGCGGUGGGGGCCGGCCCCUGUGCCUUGGGCAACUGGCCCCUUGCUGAGGCGUGCUUGCGCGUGUCCGUUGUCGCCCUCCACCAGCUGCUGCGGCGGAGAAACGGAGGCCAGCGCGGGGAGCGGAAGCCGGAGCCUGUCGGGAGCGACCCCGGGAAGGCCAGUCCCUCCUGCCGGUGGGAGGCGUGUUGGCGUGCGGCCGGUGGCGGGAUCGAUGGCCACCUGGUAGGCGAUGCUGCUGCGGCGGAGAGACGGAGGCCAGCGCGGGGAGCGGAAGCCGGAGCCUGUCGGGAGCGACCCCGGGAAGGCCAGUCCCUCCUGCCGGUGGGAGGCGUGUUGGCGUGCGGCCGGUGGCGGGAUCGAUGGCCACCUGGUAGGCGAUGGUAAGCGGCAGUGGCCUGCGCCAAGGUAGCCCCCGGGGGGCGGUGUGUGGCGCCCGGACCCGCACCCUCUGCUCCCGGGGGUGGAGCUGACCUGCUUGCCCGCGGUUGGGCUCGGGAGCCUGCGGGCCGCGGCCAGGAGGGAGCUGGCUGGCCGUCCCGGCGGUGGGGGCUGUGGCGGUGGCCGUCCCGCGGGUGUGCCCGUGCUCGGAUCGAUGAUGACACCCACAAACGCAUUCCUUGGAAAAUCUGAACAAAAUGAGUGAGAACUCACUACCGUCUCCUCAUCGCAAACUGAGGUCCGGCACGUGGCUCCCACAGGGGACGUCGGGGGAGGGUCCCGUUGCCUUGGCUCCCUUGGGUGCGUGCAGCCCUGGGGCGCAGGUGGGGGCAGGCAGGCCUCCGGUGGCCCCGGAGGGCCAUGGGGAGAGGAGCCUUGGGGCUGGCCUCCUCGAGGGCAGCCCCGGGGCCCCGGGGCCCCGGUGCCCGGCGGAAAGCCUUGGGAGUGGCAGGCCCAGUGUGGGGUGGGCUGCCUGCGGUGUGUGUGAGCGCCGCUGGCUCAGGCCUGCGGCUGCCUCCUUGAGGCCUCCGCGGGGUCCUGCCCGCGGUGUCGGGCGCAGAGGGUGGCUGUAGGUUGCGGGUGAGCAGCGGGGGCCUUGGCCUCGGCGGGACUGCCGACCCAGGUUCUGGUGGGAGAGAGGAGGCCGGCCGGGGGGCCUUGCCGAGAUGGCCGUUUGGGCGGGGUCGGACGCCUUGGCCUGGGCCUUCACGGGGUCGGCGGGGCUGCCAGUGCCUUUCCCUCGCAGAGUCCUUGGUGGUCAUCGAGAACCCUGGAGCCCCUGCGGCAUUUCCCAGAGACGUGGAGGCGGUGGGCGCCAGGUGGCCCUGGGCGGUGCCGAGUCGGCCGCGGACUGGGGUCGAGAGAAGUGCAGGAGGGCCAGAGGUCCUGGGCCAGUGUGCGCAGAGCACCGUGAGGGGAGUGUUGGGUGCCCGGGCGGCAGUGCCUU
rnacentral:lncRNA from 1 species